AACGAACGCUGGCGGCAUGCCUAACACAUGCAAGUCGAACGAGACCUUCGGGUCUAGUGGCGCACGGGUGCGUAACGCGUGGGAACCUGCCCUUAGGUUCGGAAUAACUCCCCGAAAGGGGUGCUAAUACCGGAUAAUGUCUUCGGACCAAAGAUUUAUCGCCUUUGGAUGGGCCCGCGUUGGAUUAGCUAGUUGGUAGGGUAAAAGCCUACCAAGGCGACGAUCCAUAGCUGGUCUGAGAGGAUGAUCAGCCACACUGGGACUGAGACACGGCCCAGACUCCUACGGGAGGCAGCAGUGGGGAAUAUUGGACAAUGGGCGAAAGCCUGAUCCAGCAAUCCCCGUGAGUGAUGAAGGCCUUAGGGUUGUAAAGCUCUUUUACCCGGGAUGAUAAUGACAGUACCGGGAGAAUAAGCUCCGGCUAACUCCGUG
rnacentral:rRNA from 1 species